GACAUAUAUCUUCGAUUGAUCUCCUGCACAGGCUCUCCAUCAGGCUCUCCAUGAGUCGGCAACUUCAGUUGGAAUCAAAAUGGGUCAUUUACUUGCUCCUUUAAUUACACAUCAUCCUCCGACUCUCCAGCAACCUUUAAGUGCAAUAUAUAUAUUUCUAAGAUGAAGAUAAUGUAUGGUAAUGAAGAUUUGGAGCAGCAAGAGUGUGUAGUAUGGGGUCUUGCUUACCUCAUUCAAGGAAUAACAAUGAAAGACAGGGGUCAUUGAUUUCGAAAAACUCCGCCUCUUUGUUCGCCUUCUUCCUGAUUUUAAGUUACAGCAUCUGAAAAUGUUACCCUGGAGUCG
rnacentral:lncRNA from 1 species